rnacentral:rRNA from 1 species
UAAUUGAAGAGUUUGAUCAUGGCUCAGAUUGAACGCUGGCGGCAGGCCUAACACAUGCAAGUCGAGCGGUAGCACAGGAGAGCUUGCUCUCUGGGUGACGAGCGGCGGACGGGUGAGUAAUGUCUGGGAAACUGCCUGAUGGAGGGGGAUAACUACUGGAAACGGUAGCUAAUACCGCAUAACGUCUUCGGACCAAAGUGGGGG